UGCGCAGGCGGCGCGUUAAGUCAGUGGUGAAAUCCUCCCGCUCAACGGGAGAACUGCCAUUGAUACUGGCGUGCUUGAGUACGGACGAGGUAGGCGGAAUUUAUGGUGUAGCGGUGAAAUGCAUAGAUACCAUAAAGAACACCGAUAGCGAAGGCAGCUUACUAGACCGUAACUGACGCUCAUGCACGAAAGCGUGGGGAGCAAAUAGGAUUAGAUACCCUGGUAGUCC
rnacentral:rRNA from 1 species